rnacentral:tmRNA from 1 species
GGGGGCGACAAGGUUUCGACGGGGGUAGAGUGGGUUAGAGUAGCGAGUCGGGUUCCCGACACCCGUAAAACAGGGAAAAACAAAACAAACGCAAACAAUAAAUUAGCGUUCGCCGCCUAAUAAGGCGGUCGUCGGCCUGAUCUUUUCCUGUGAGAUUAGCAACCGGCGUCAAGAAAGCAGGAGUAGGGUUUCCGAUCGUCUGGUAGGAAGCGCGAAAUUAACAGACUAGCGACAUCGUAAGCCUGUCAGCGGGCGUACGAAAGGGCGAAUCACCAAACCACUGACUUCACUCGGAGAAGCUCUAGCUGGCAUGCCUUCGGACGGUGGGUUCGACUCCCCCCGCCUCCACCA